rnacentral:rRNA from 1 species
UGGCGGACGGGUGCGUAACACGUGAGCAACCUGCCCUGAAGCGGGGGAUAGCCCUCCGAAAGGAGGAUUAAUACCGCAUGUGAUCUCCGGAUCAAAGACGGCUUCGGCUGUCGCUUCAGGAUGGGCUCGCGGCCUAUCAGCUUGUUGGCGAGGUAACGGCUCACCAAGGCGACGACGGGUACCUGGUCUGAGAGGACGAUCAGGCACACUGGAACUGAGACACGGUCCAGACACCUACGGGUGGCAGCAGUCGAGAAUCAUUCACAAUGGGCGCAAGCCUGAUGGUGCAACGCCGCGUGGAGGAUGAAGGCCCUCGGGUCGUAAACUCCUGUCAUCAGGGAGUAAGCCUUGUUCGUUAACAGCGUGCAAGGUUGAUAGUACCUGAAGAGGAAGGGACGGCUAACUUCGUGCCAGCAGCCGCGGUAAUACGAAGGUCCCAAGCGUUGUUCGGAAUCACUGGGCGUAAAGAGUAUGUAGGCGGUUCGGAAAGUCAGAUGUGAAAGCCCGGGGCUCAACUCCGGAACUGCAUCCGAUACUCCCGAACUAGAGUAGUGGAGGGGUGACUGGAAUUCUCGGUGUAGCAGUGAAAUGCGUAGAUAUCGAGAGGAACACUCGUGGCGAAGGCGAGUCACUGGACACUUACUGACGCUGAGAUACGAAGGCCAGGGGAGCGAAAGGGAUUAGAUACCCCUGUAGUCCUGGCAGUAAACGGUGCGCGCUUGGUGUGGGAGGAUUCGACCCCUCCCGUGCCGGAGCUAACGCGUUAAGCGCGCCGCCUGGGGAGUACGGCCGCAAGGCUAAAACUCAAAGAAAUUGACGGGGACCCGCACAAGCGGUGGAGUAUGUGGCUUAAUUCGAUGCAACGCGAAGAACCUUACCUGGGCUUGACAUGCUCGUCAUACCUCUCCGAAAUGAGAGGGUCGGUUCGGCCGGACGAUGCACAGGUGCUGCAUGGCUGUCGUCAGCUCGUGUCGUGAGAUGUUGGGUUAAGUCCCGCAACGAGCGCAAUCCCUGUGUCAUGUCGUCAGCACGUAAUGGUGGGGACUCCGGAUAGACUGCCCAGAUCAACUGGGAGGAAGGUGGGGAAGACGUCAAGUCAGUAUGUCCCUUACGCCCAG